AACAUUACAUUCUGGGAAUUUCAAUUUUGAGUUCUCCAUUUUUAAUGUAGGCCAAAAAACUAUAAGAACAUAAACUAAACUUUUGGCAGAAAACUUCAGAAACACUUUAAUAUCAUUGCGUCACACAAUUGUACAUUCUCAUGCUAUUAAUUUGCUAUUCAUGCAAAUUGAAAAUUUUAAAAAUUGAUAAUACCAUUUUAAGCCUUAUAAAUCUGGAUCUUCUCUGUCACAUCUCAAUGCAUUAGAAACAAAACCAAACAUAUUUCAUUUUGCUAGCUCUGAUAAAUAACGCUAUUCUUUCAGUAGAUUUUCUUAUACAACUAGCUUAGAAUAGAUAACAUAAUGAAUUAUUCAACAGAAUUUCCGAAUACAUUCUGAUAUCUUAAGUUCUUUCCAAUAUUUCACUUUCCUGACUGUUAAUGUACAAUGUAAUACUUUAUCCAUUUUAGUAUUUUUUUUUGUUCUAGUAUCAUUGGUUGAACUCUGUAAUUAACACACAAUUAUUCUUAGGUGUUUAAAUUUUAACUGAAAAGUGAUCCCUAUUAGGAAUUUGGAAAACAUUAUGCUGAGUGAAAUAAGCCAGUCCCAAAGGGACAAAUAUCAUAUGUUCUUCCUGAUCAGUGACAACUAACUGAGCACCAAAAAGGAAACCUGUUAAAGUGAAAUGAACACUAUGAGAAACGGUGACUUGAUCAGCCCUCACCCUGACUGUUGAUGAGCAACUUGAUAUGUUAUCCCUCUUAGUAUUUUUUUUGUUUGUUCUACUUACUACUUUUGGUUGAAUAUUGUAAUCAAUACACAGUUAUUAUUAAGUGUUGAAACUUAACUGAAAAGUGAUCCCUGUUAAAUAUAAGAGUGAGAAUAAGAGAGGGAAGAGAUGUACAAUUUCGGACAUGCUCAAGCUGACUUACCCUAAAGUUAGAAACAUACCAGUGGAUUCCAAUUCAAUCCCAUCAAGGUGGCAGGUGCCAAUGCCAUCUCACUAGUACAAGUGAUCAAUUUCUGUUCACAAUUGAUCAUAAUGAUAGGACUAAGAGAAAAAGGGAGCACAUAAACAAGACUAGUGACUGCAAAUAAUAGCUGAUAGAAUAAAAAAGGGAGAGAAC
rnacentral:lncRNA from 1 species